GCAGGAGUCAUAGAAGUCACAAUUGAUGACAACUGACAGUUUGAAUGGCUGACCAGUUAAACAGUUGGAUAGUUUAAAUUGUUAAAUUAUUUAAUAGGGA